AAGGUUUCCGUAGGUGAACCUGCGGAAGGAUCAUUA
rnacentral:ncRNA from 260 species